rnacentral:rRNA from 1 species
UACGUAGGGUGCGAGCGUUAAUCGGAAUUACUGGGCGUAAAGCGUGCGCAGGCGGUUUUGUAAGCCAGAUGUGAAAUCCCCGGGCUUAACCUGGGAAUGGCAUUUGGGACUGCAAGGCUUGAGUGCGGCAGAGGAGACUGGAAUUCCUGGUGUAGCAGUGAAAUGCGUAGAUAUCAGGAGGAACACCGAUGGCGAAGGCAGGUCUCUGGGCUGACACUGACGCUCAUGCGCGACAGCGUGGGGAUCAAACAGG